UUGCUCCCGGAUCUUAGCGGCGGACGGGUGAGUAACACGUGGGCAACCUGCCCUGUAGAUUGGGAUAACUCCGGGAAACCGGGGCUAAUACCGAAUAAUAUCUUUUGCUGCAUAGCAGAAGAUUGAAAGCUGGGUUUUCCUAGCACUACAGGAUGGGCCCGCGGCGCAUUAGCUAGUUGGUGAGGUAACGGCUCACCAAGGCGACGAUGCGUAGCCGACCUGAGAGGGUGAUCGGCCACACUGGGACUGAGACACGGCCCAGACUCCUACGGGAGGCAGCAGUAGGGAAUCUUCCGCAAUGGACGAAAGUCUGACGGAGCAACGCCGCGUGAGUGAUGAAGGCCUUCGGGUCGUAAAGCUCUGUUGUUAGGGAAGAACAAGUACCGUUCGAACAGGGCGGUACCUU
rnacentral:rRNA from 1 species